rnacentral:rRNA from 1 species
UACAGAGGUCUCAAGCGUUGUUCGGAUUCAUUGGGCGUAAAGGGUGCGUAGGCGGCGCGGUAAGUCGGGGUGUGAAAUCUCGGAGCUUAACUCCGAAACUGCAUUCGAUACUGCCGUGCUUGAGGACUGGAGAGGAGACUGGAAUUUACGGUGUAGCGGUGAAAUGCGUAGAUAUCGUAAGGAAGACCAGUGGCGAAGGCGGGUCUCGUGGACGAGUUCCUGACGCUGAGGCACGAAGGCCAGGGGAGCAAACGGG